UUCAGCCUUAAGGAGUUCAGCUACUGAGGAUCCAAAAUGCCUGCACCCUGUGAACCCUGCAAAGACUCGUGCAAAGAUGACGCCAACUGCAAGGACAACUGCUCCUGCGAAGCUGACUGCUCCGACUGCUCCACCAAGCCUGGUGGUUGCUGCUAAUCAUCAGAUCGUCGCCACUCAAGCUUAUCAUAUCUUCGCCUGCUGACCGAUCUCGGACGUAGAAUAAAAUUUGUUUCAUUGUUAUAUAAGCAUGAAUUAAAAAAGUGGUGCCCAUCAA